UUUAAAAAUCACAUUUUUUUCAUAUAUAUAUGAAAGACAUAAAUUUGGAAUGCUUUAAUAAAGUUCAAAAGUCAGGAUAUGUGCUCAUUAGCCUGACAUCAUCAGCUGAAAUGACGCCAUUCGCAUCCAAGACUUAAUGCACUUGCUGUCGAUGUUUGAUGUAUGCCAGGCACAACCUUAUUCUCCACAAAAAGCCAAAGAAAGACCCAAGUAAUAUCAAACUCAGAGAAUGGGAGGCAAGAAAAGGAGAGCGUGAAGUACACAGAUGAUAACAAAUCAUCCAGAAUUAUCAAGAGUCAAGAUGAAGGCCAAAACCAGCAAGGGCCCAGAGAUAUUCUUUGCACCAUGCCUUGGCUGCUGGGGUUGGUGGACGAGUGGCAUCGGCAAUUUAAGGCUGUUUUUUUUUUCUACAUCUUCUGUGCCUAUUUCAGUGAUACAAAGAUGAAACCAGG
rnacentral:lncRNA from 1 species